GCAUGGAAUAACACAGAUGGGCUCUUUUUCGCAACGUUGGUCUGCGUCAAUCGAGCAACGAUCGAUAGAGACGGUCGGGGGCAUUCGUAUUGCGCAGUUAGAGGUGAAAUUCUCCGAUCUGCGCAAGACGCACUAAUGCGAAAGCAGUUGCCAAGGACGUCCUCUUAUGAUCAAGAGCGAAAGUCGGGGGAUCAAAGAUGAUUAGAUACCGUCGUAGUCCCGACCAUAAAUGAUGCCGACUGAGCGUCGGCGACUCGGCCUUCGGCCGUACGUCGGCGCUCUUGAGAGAAAUUAAAGUCUUUGGGCUCCGGGGGUAGUAUGGUCGCAAGUCUGAAACUUGAAGGAAUUGACGGAAGGGCACCACAAGGCGUGGAUGUUGCGGCUUAAUUUGACUCAACACGGGGAAGCUUACUAGGUUUGGACACUUGAAUGAGGGACAUAUUGAAGCUCUUACCUUUUUUUGUGGAUGGUGGUGCAUGGUCGUUCUCAGCCCGUGGGUUGACCUGUCAGGUUUACUCCGGUAACGCGCGAGACCUCGGUUUGCUAAAUAGACGCGGCUGUCUCGGCACCCGCGUUCUUCUUAGAGAGAGUCUCGACGAGAGUCGAGGGAAGUCGAGGCAAUAACAGAUCUGUGAUGCCCUUAGUUAUCCUAGGUCGCACGCGCCAAACAAUGUCGCUUACAACGAGUUCCUAGGCCGACAGGCGUUCUCCUUCGAGCGCGGUCGUGGCAGACCCCGAGGGCCAGUCGCUCCGAGAGAGCGGCCGUCCGAGGGCGUCCACGCGCCUCCGCGCCGAUCGAGAUCGACCGGGCAAUCUUGCAGAGAGCUACGUGACUGGGCUA
rnacentral:rRNA from 1 species